UGAGAAUCUUCUUUUUCUUUAUUUUUUUCGGCGAAGCUCUUUUUCUCUGGCAAGAGUUUUUUUUUUAUUCUUUACUUUUCCGGCGAGGUUUUCCCCGACAUGAGGCUACUUCUUCUUCUUUAUUAUUUUCUGGCGAAGUUUGUUGUCGUUUUCUAUCUCUCUCGGUGAAGUAGAUCUGCCAAGAUCUGAACUAGAUAUAUCAACUUCCAGCAGCGUACAUCAGAUUCUUGCGGCGUUCAGCAGAUUCCGGCAGCGUACAAUAAAUUUCGACAUCGCCCAUAUUUUUUCGGCGACGAUCAGCAUUUUCCAGCGUGGUCUACAGCUCCAGGAUCUUAUAUUUCCUCAACUGAUCUAGGAUGAACAUGUGUACAUCAACAUUCCUGGCAAUAUGACUAUUAGAAGAAGAAUUAUUUUUGGCUUACUAUUAGUAUCAGUGUACUUACCCGUACAGAGAAUCAAAAAUCAUCAUAAUGUAAAAUUGAAUCACUAUUUUACAUAUGUACUAAAUUAAAAUGUUAUGCAAUAUUUAUUUAAUUACA